UACGAAGGUCCCGAGCGUUGUUCGGAAUCACUGGGCGUAAAGGGAGCGUAGGCGGCGUGGCAAGUCAGAUGUGAAAUCCCGGGGCUCAACCCCGGAACUGCAUCCGAUACUGCCGUGCUUUGAGGGUUGGAGAGGCAGCUGGAGUUCACGGUGUAGCAGUGAAAUGCGUGGAUAUCGUGAGGAACACUCGUGGCGAAAGCGAGCUGCUGGACAACACCUGACGCUGAGGCUCGAAGGCCGGGGGAGCGAAAGGG
rnacentral:rRNA from 1 species